rnacentral:tRNA from 1 species
GUAGUCGUGGCCAAGUGGUUAAGGCGAUGGACUAGAUAUCCAUUGAGAUAAUCCCGCGUAGGUUCGAAGCCUACCGACUACG